rnacentral:rRNA from 1 species
CCUACGGGGGGCAGCAGUGGGGAAUAUUGCGCAAUGGGCGAAAGCCUGACGCAGCGACGCCGCGUGAAGGAAGAAGGCUUUCGGGUUGUAAACUUCUUUUGUCAGGGAAGAGUAGAAGACGGUACCUGACGAAUAAGCCACGGCUAACUACGUGCGAGCAGCCGCGGUAAUACGUAGGUGGCAAGCGUUGUCCGGAUUUACUGGGUGUAAAGGGCGUGUAGCCGGGUUGACAAGUCAGAUGUGAAAUCCUGCGGCUUAACCGCAGAACUGCAUUUGAAACUGUUGAUCUUGAGUACUGGAGAGGCAGAUGGAAUUCCUAGUGUAGCGGUGAAAUGCGUAGAUAUUAGGAGGAACACCAGUGGCGAAGGCGGUCUGCUGGACAGCAACUGACGGUGAGGCGCGAAAGCGUGGGGAGCAAACAGGAUUAGAUACCCUUGUAGUC